rnacentral:rRNA from 1 species
AGUGAACGCUGGCGGUAGGCCUAACACAUGCAAGUCGAACGGCAGCACAGUAAGAGCUUGCUCUUACGGGUGGCGAGUGGCGGACGGGUGAGGAAUACAUCGGAAUCUACUUUUUCGUGGGGGAUAACGUAGGGAAACUUACGCUAAUACCGCAUACGACCUACGGGUGAAAGCAGGGGAUCUUCGGACCUUGCGCGAUUGAAUGAGCCGAUGUCGGAUUAGCUAGUUGGCGGGGUAAAGGCCCACCAAGGCGACGAUCCGUAGCUGGUCUGAGAGGAUGAUCAGCCACACUGGAACUGAGACACGGUCCAGACUCCUACGGGAGGCAGCAGUGGGGAAUAUUGGGCAGAGGGCGCAAGCCUGAUCCAGCCAUACCGCGUGGGUGAAGAAGGCCUUCGGGUUGUAAAGCCCUUUUGUUGGGAAAGAAAAGCAGCAGGUUAAUACCCCGCUGUUCUGACGGUACCCAAAGAAUAAGCACCGGCUAACUUCGUG